CCAGCUCUCUUUGCCUUUUGGCUUAGAUCAAGCGCAGUGCCGUUUCUGUUCAGUUUAAUCUCUGGACAACCCCCUACGGGGGGCUUCUCAUGAUUAAUCUUGUUUUUGGAACCCGGCUGGUGGCCUCUGAGCUCUGCUUAUCGUCACUGGCCACAGUGUCCCCAGUAUUGCACUGCCUCUGGGUGACGCGACACUUC
rnacentral:snRNA from 1 species